GUCACUGGGGAGCUGGUGGGCCUUGAAGUGGGCAAAGAAUCAAGUACGUGGUGCAGUAGAAGCUCAGGAAGGAACAAGGCACCACUGGAGGCUCUUGAGGGGAGAGCAAUGUCCCUGCGACUGAACGGAACUGAGCUGAAUGUCCCUGGAUGGCUUCUCUGACAGAGCGGGUACCUCCCACUCACCCCAGGAUGAUUCUUGCUCCUUUGCUUGGCUGCUGAGGUUGAAGGAAAUUCAGUGGUCAUGUCUGUGGCUCUCCAGCUGUUUCACUUUUUACUAUGGAUGCUAAAUAACCCAUGUUGAACGUUUCACCUGGUCGUGUCUUGAUGAGCAAGUGCACUGCUGGAUCUCAUAGGCACGUCAUACGUGGGCACAUUUUCCUGGAUGUCAUCUGCCUUGCAGAACACGCCCCUCUUCACUGUCGCCUGCACUCCCCUGACAGCUCAGCGCAUUUUUCUGGCAAUAGCGAGACCACCAAGCACCAGCAGGCUGACCAUGAAUACUGAGGAAGGAGGGAGACAUGGACGUAGGAAACAUACGAAGACAUCCAUGGAGGCAGAUAUUAUAGUGAUGCGGCCGCAAGCCAAGGAACACCAACACUAGCUGGCAUUCUUAAGAAGCUGGAAGAGAGUACCUGCAAGAUGCCGGAGUUUGUAUUUCAAGAUGUGUUAUCUGGGGAAUAUCAGUAGAACACACAUCUGAACGUGAUCCCCAUCAAAGGGACCGCAUCCUAGGAAGCAGAAGAGAGAAAUGGUAUUUGGGCUUUUCUGGUGCCAGUCUAAG
ensembl:lncRNA